rnacentral:rRNA from 1 species
AUUGAACGCUGGCGGCAUGCCUUACACAUGCGAGUCGAACGGCAGCACGGGUGCUUGCACCUGGUGGCGAGUGGCGAACGGGUGAGUAAUACAUCGGAACAUGUCCUGUAGUGGGGGAUAGCCCGGCGAAAGCCGGAUUAAUACCGCAUACGAUCUACGGAUGAAAGCGGGGGACCUUCGGGCCUCGCGCUAUAGGGUUGGCCGAUGGCUGAUUAGCUAGUUGGUGGGGUAAAGGCCUACCAAGGCGACGAUCAGUAGCUGGUCUGAGAGGACGACCAGCCACACUGGGACUGAGACACGGCCCAGACUCCUACGGGAGGCAGCAGUGGGGAAUUUUGGACAAUGGGCGAAAGCCUGAUCCAGCAAUGCCGCGUGUGUGAAGAAGGCCUUCGGGUUGUAAAGCACUUUUGUCCGGAAAGAAAUCCUUGGCCCUAAUACGGUCGGGGGAUGACGGUACCGGAAGAAUAAGCACCGGCUAACUACGCG